GCCAGGUGCAGUGGCGUAUACCUGUGGUCCCAGCUACUUGGGAGGCUGAGGCGGGAGGAUCGCUUGAGCCCAAGGGUUCUGGGCUGUAGUACACUAUGUUGAUCAUGUGUUUGCACUAAGUUCAGCAUCAAUAUGGUGACCCCUCAGGAGUGGGGGAUCACCAGGUUAUCUAACCAGGGAUGAACCAGCCCUGGUCAGAAACAGAGCAGGUAAAAACUCCCAUGCUGAUGAAUAGUAGGAUUGCACCUGUGAACAGCUACUGCAUUCCAGCCUGGGCAACACAGUAAGACUUUGUCUCUA
ensembl:misc_RNA Metazoa_SRP Metazoan signal recognition particle RNA